rnacentral:rRNA from 1 species
AACGAACGUUGGCGGCGUGGAUUAGGCAUGCAAGUCGAACGAGAAAGCGUCCUUCGGAUGCGAGUAAAGUGGCGAACGGGUGAGUAACGCGUGGGGAACCGUACCCUUGAGUGGGGGAGUAACGCUCCUAACGGGGCGCUAAUACCGCAUGACACCGGAGGCAGGCAUCUGCUUCCGGUCGAAGAUGGCCUCUGAAUGUAAGCUGUCGCUCAAGGAUGGCCCCGCGUCCGAUUAGCUUGUUGGUGGGGUAACGGCCCACCAAGGCUACGAUCGGUAGCCGGCCUGAGAGGGUGUCCGGCCACACUGGGACUGAGAUACGGCCCAGACUCCUACGGGAGGCAG